GUAGCGCAAUGAAUAACGCGUUGGACUUCUAAUCCAAAGGACGUGGGUUCAAAUCUCAUGAUUUCU